GACAUUAGCUGUGUAUGCCAACCAGUGGAUGGCUUGGCUCAAGCGCUGAAGAAGGACGUGCCAAGCUGCGAUAAGCCUCGGCGAGGUGCAUGGAACCGUCGAACCGAGGAUAUCCUAAUGGGAACUCCCAGCCUUAGGGCUGAUCCGUAAGGAUCGGGAACGCCCCGGAUUGAAACAUCUUAGUAGGGGCAGGAAGAGAAAUCAAAUCGAGAUGCCGUAAGUAACGGCGAGUGAAAGCGGCAGAGCCCAAACCGAAUCCCUUCGGGGAGAUGUGGUGUUAUAAGCCUGGCUCAAUUACAGCGUCGUUGGUGAAGUUGAAGUUGCCUGGAACGGCACGCCGCAGAGUGUGAUAGCCACGUAAAUCUAAGCCGAUAACGCUGGAGCCUCGUCUUGAGUACCGUGGGUCGGAUAUCUCGCGGAAAUUUGGGAGACACCAACUUCCAAGGCUAAAUACGUCUUGAGACCGAUAGCGCAGUAGUAGGGUGACCGAAAGCUGAAAAGUACCCCAAAGAGGGCGGUGCAAAGUGCCUGAAAUUGGUUGGUGAUGGAGCGAUUUGGCGUCAAAGGAUACUCAGCACGAAGGAAAACGUCGCGAGGCGUCGGUACGAGUGCUGAAUGCCAGCGUCAUAUCUUACGUUUUGAAGAACGGGCCAGGGAGUGCAUUUAAGUGGCAAGGCUAAUCCGUUCAACGGAGCAGCCGUAGCGAAAGCGACCAGCGCGCAUCUUCGGAGAGGCGCGACGUAUACAAGUGCGUGGAGUCACUUGGAUGCUACCCGAAGCCGGGCGAUCUAGGCGUGGGCAGGUUGAAGCGUGGCGAAAGCUGCGUGGAGGACCGUUAGCGGUGUUGAUAUGCAAAUCACUCGCGUGACCUGUGUCUAGGGGUGAAAGUCCAAUCGAGCCCGGAAAUAGCUGGUUCCUUCCGAAACAUGUCGCAGCAUGACCUGACUGGAGGUUGUCGGCGGAGUAGAGCACUGAUUGGGGAAUCCGGGGGAGAAAUCCUUCGCUCUCUUGUCAAACUCCAAAACCGUCGUCGCCGUAGAAGGUCGGAGUCCGGACUGGGGGGUAAGCUUCCAGUCCGUAAGGGAAACAACCCAGACCGUGGUUAAGGCCCCCAAAUGUCGGCUAAGUGUUAACACUAAAGGGAGUCCUAGGCCCCAGACAACUGGAAGGUUAGCUUAGAAGCAGCUAUCCUUUAAAGAGUGCGUAACAGCUCACCAGUCGAGGUUUAGGGCCCCGAAAAUGGACGGGGCUAAGCCGACUGCCGAUACCACGGAGCACCGCAAGGUGAUCUCGUAGGGAGGCGCUCUGCGUGGGCAGAAGCAUCUUCGUGAGGAGGUGUGGACCACGUAGAGACGAAAAUCCUGGCAGUAGUAGCAGCAAAGUCGGGUGAAAAUCCCGAUCGCCGAAUGGGCUAGGUUUCCUCGGCAAUGUUCGUCAGCCGAGGGUUAGUCGGUCCUAAG
rfam:Methanolinea sp. SDB scaffold-12056, whole genome shotgun sequence.